AGAUCCAUCAGACGAUGACGGGUAGCCGGCCUGAGAGGGCGACCGGCCACACUGGGACUGAGACACGGCCCAGACUCCUACGGGAGGCAGCAGUGGGGAAUAUUGCACAAUGGGCGAAAGCCUGAUGCAGCGACGCCGCGUGGGGGAUGACGGCCUUCGGGUUGUAAACCCCUUUCAGUAGGGAAGAAGCGAGAGUGACGGUACCUGCAGAAGAAGCGCCGGCUAACUACGUGCCAGCAGCCGCGGUAAUACGUAGGGCGCAAGCGUUGUCCGGAAUUAUUGGGCGUAAAGAGCUCGUAGGUGGCUUGUCGCGUCUGCCGUGAAAACCCGAGGCUCAACCUCGGGCGUGCGGUGGGUACGGGCAGGCUAGAGUGCGGUAGGGGAGACUGGAACUCCUGGUGUAGCGGUGAAAUGCGCAGAUAUCAGGAAGAACACCGAUGGCGAAGGCAGGUCUCUGGGCCAUUACUGACACUGAGGAGCGAAAGCAUGGGUAGCGAACAGGAUUAGAUACCCUGGUAGUCCAUGCCGUAAACGUUGGGCACUAGAUGUGGGGGACAUUCCACGUUUUCCGCGUCGGAGCUGCCGUAUUACGCGACCAGCCUGGGGGGGGCGGGAAAAGGAGAUGAUAGGCCGCGACACU
rnacentral:rRNA from 1 species